ACGGGUGAGUAACACGUAUCCAACCUGCCGUCUACUCUUGGACAGCCUUCUGGAAAAGGAAGAUUAAUACAAGAUGGCAUCAUGAGUCCACAUGUUCACAUGAUUAAAGGUAUUCCGGUAGACGAGGGGGAUGCGUUCCAUUAGAUAGUAGGCGGGGUAACGGCCCACCUAGUCUUCGAUGGAUAGGGGUUCUGAGAGGAAGGUCCCCCACAUUGGAACUGAGACACGGUCCAA
rnacentral:rRNA from 1 species